GCCCGCCUGGCCCAAUCGGCAGAGGCACCGCACCCAAAAUGCGGGUGUUCCCGGUUCGAGUCCGGGGGCGGGCA
rnacentral:tRNA from 1 species